rnacentral:rRNA from 1 species
GACGAACGCUGGCGGCGUGCUUAACACAUGCAAGUCGAACGGAAAGGCCCUGCUUUUGUGGGGUGCUCGAGUGGCGAACGGGUGAGUAACACGUGAGUAACCUGCCCUUGACUUUGGGAUAACUUCAGGAAACUGGGGCUAAUACCGGAUAGGAGCUCCUGCUGCAUGGUGGGGGUUGGAAAGUUUCGGCGGGUGGGGAUGGACUCGCGGCUUAUCAGCUUGUUGGUGGGGUAGUGGCUUACCAAGGCGUUGACGGGUAGCCGGCCUGAGAGGGUGACCGGCCACAUGGGGACUGAGAUACGGCCCAGACUCCUACGGGAGGCAGCAGUGGGGAAUAUUGCACAAGGGGCGGAAGCCUGAUGCAGCAACGCCGCGGGCGGGAUGACGGCCUUCGGUUUGUAAACCGCUUUCGCCUGUGACGAAGCGUGAGUGACGGUAAUGGGUAAAGAAGCACCGGCUAACUACGUG